rnacentral:rRNA from 1 species
GAUGAACGCUGGCGGCGUGCCUAAUACAUGCAAGUCGAGCGAACGGACGAGAAGCUUGCUUUUCUGAUGUUAGCGGCGGACGGGUGAGUAACACGUGGAUAACCUACCUAUAAGACUGGGAUAACUUCGGGAAACCGGAGCUAAUACCGGAUAAUAUUUUGAACCGCAUGGGUCAAAAGUGAAAGACGGUCUUGCUGUCACUUAUAGAUGGAUCCGCGCUGCAUUAGCUAGUUGGUAAGGUAACGGCUUACCAAGGCAACGAUGCAUAGCCGACCUGAGAGAGUGAUCGGCCACACUGGAACUUGGACACGGUCCAGGCGCCUACGGGAGGCAGCAGUAGGGAAUCUUCCGCAAUGGGCGAAAACCUGACGGAGCAACGCCGCGUGAGUGAUGAAGGUCUUCGGAUCGUAAAACUCUGUUAUUAGGGAAGAACAUAUGUGUAAGUAACUGUGCACAUCUUGACGGUACCUAAUCAGAAAGCCACGGCUAACUACGUG